AUGAACUUACUUUAUUAAAAUAUGGUCGAUAUAUUAGAAAUGAGUUUUUUUCGCUACAAAUGAGUUCAAUAUGUACGACAUGAAGUUCUGAAUUUCUUUGCUAUUAUAUUAUGGAUACAUUUAAUUUGUGUGUUUUCACGGUGCGGUAGUUAGUACGAUCCUGGUGAUGGAGUUCGGCCUCGCCCCCCUUUCGUAGCAAUCAAUGUACUUACGGGACUACAGAUAGCAGCACUGCUUCGAGCCCUGUCCACAUGUGCAAAGAUGGCCGUUCGCGAGGCCGUCUUCUCGGUUUCUUUGCUCACGUUUCAGCCUUGUUGUCACUUCAUUGUUCUUUCAUUAUAAAAAAUUCGCUUGUACGAAUAAACAUAGUAUUUCCGUGACAAAACACGAUAACCAGCUUUGUUUCGAUUUUCAACGUCGUAGCAUGUGGUGAUAAAGUUUUUUCAUGUUUUUGUGAAAAUGCAUGUACCUUAUGCGUAAUACUUAUUACGAUGACGACAACGACGACAUGUCAAGCGAUGUCAUGCAAUUCCACGCAUAAUCGCUUUCACGAGUAAUUCAUUUAACGACAGAAUGGCGAACAUAUUAUGGUAGGAUAAUACCGUGCAUAUGCAAACUUGAGUGUAUAAUUAUCUAUUUUCUUUUCUUUUCUUGUUUCUUGUUUAUAUUACAAAACCAGAUAUAUAUUUAAUAGCUAAAUGAUAAAACGAUAAUAAUGAAGUUCCUGUUACAUUAUAGCAAUUAGCGAUAUCACUUUUUUACAAGUCAUUGUAUGACCCCAUGCACAUGGAAAACAAUGCUCGACUAUAAUUUAGGUAGAAAAAUAAAUUAUUUUUUGUUCCCGUAUAUUAAUUAUGCAUAAUAAUCCUGUAUAAUAAUGAUGCAUGUAAGGAGGAACCCAUUGCAUUUCAUAUAUGAAAGUUUUUGUAAAGUCAGUAAUAUUG